UACGGAGGGUGCAAGCGUUAUCCGGAAUCAUUGGGUUUAAAGGGUCCGCAGGCGGUCUUAUAAGUCAGUGGUGAAAGCCUACAGCUUAACUGUAGAACUGCCAUUGAUACUGUAAGACUUGAAUUCGGUCGAAGUGGGCGGAAUGUGACAUGUAGCGGUGAAAUGCUUAGAUAUGUCACAGAACACCGAUAGCGAAGGCAGCUCACUAGGCCUGGAUUGACGCUCAUGGACGAAAGCGUGGGGAGCAAACAGGAUUAGAUACCCUGGUAGUCCACGCCGUAAACUAUGAUUACUCGUUUUCGGCGAUAUACAGUCGGAGACUAAGCGAAAGUGAUAAGUAAUCCACCUGGGGAGUACGAUCGCAAGGUUGAA
rnacentral:rRNA from 1 species